UUUUAGUAGAGACGGGGUUUCACCGUGGUCUCGAUCUCGUGACCUCUUGAUCCGCCCGCCUCGGCCUCCCAAAGUGCUGGGAUUACAGGCGUGAGCCACCGCGCCCGGCGCAGGGCGUGCCCAGGGCUUCUGAUGCCAGAGCCCAGGAAUGAGCUUUUGCCUUUUGGAUUCAGGGCUUCCCUGUACUCUCACAGAGUCAGAAUGGCCGUAUGUUUACAUGUGAAGCCCUGGGGCUCCCUGGCCCCUUCCUGGGCCGUUCUCCACCUUUUCUCUUCUCACCCUUUGCUGUUCCCUGAGUCAUGCAAUCCAUAGUGAAGAGGCCAGAGGCCCGGAUGGGGAAGUGCCGGGGGCAGCCGUGGCAGCUUCAUCACAGAGCUCCUGGGGACUGAUGCACACAGCUGUGGAAAUGAUAGUAAGGCUCUUUGUUAGAGCUCUUGUGGCUGCCUGGAGAUGAUGCUGCCUUGGCCAUGGCCUGCUGUUAUCCUCGGGGAGCUGGGACGUGGGCACAGGGGCAUGCAUUUCCCCCUCAGCACUAGCUCCAAGGGACAAUGUGCAGCACUUGCUGAAUUUCCAGGUGAUAAAAAGAUCCAGGAUGUGACCAAGAGAAUGAAUCCCUGAAAUAAAAUGGAAAAGAAGGUCGUAGAAACCAAACAAGUGGAAAAACUUUGAGGCAAGCAUCUUGGAUGGGCUUCCCAUAUGGGCAGUGAAGUUCCUCAGGAAGAGAAUUGGACUUACAGAGAAACAAAUGACUAUGAGCUAAACCCUCACGGAAUCCUCACAGUGAGUCAGAAAGACAGAGAGGUGAUUGGGAAGGCGUGAUCGUGAGUAAUGGAGACUGAUGAUGUCCAGGACGUU
rnacentral:lncRNA from 10 species